rnacentral:rRNA from 2 species
AGACCCGAAACCCGGUGAUCUAGCCAUGGGCAGGUUGAAGGUUGGGUAACACUAACUGGAGGACCGAACCGACUAAUGUUGAAAAAUUAGCGGAUGACCUGUGGCUGGGGGUGAAAGGCCAAUCAAACCGGGAGAUAGCUGGUUCUCCCCGAAAGCUAUUUAGGUAGCGCCUCGUGAAUUCAUCUCCGGGGGUAGAGCACUGUUUCGGCUAGGGGGCCAUCCCGGCUUACCAACCCGAUGCAAACUGCGAAUACCGGAGAAUGUUAUCACGGGAGACACACGGCGGGUGCUAACGUCCGUCGUGAAGAGGGAAACAACCCAGACCGCCAGCUAAGGUCCCAAAGUCAUGGUUAAGUGGGAAACGAUGUGGGAAGGCCCAGACAGCCAGGAUGUUGGCUUAGAAGCAGCCAUCAUUUAAAGAAAGCGUAAUAGCUCACUGGUCGAGUCGGCCUGCGCGGAAGAUGUAACGGGGCUAAACCAUGCACCGAAGCUGCGGCAGCGAACGUAUCACCCAAGACAACUUUGCGGAGUUGACGAUUGACGGAGCGAAGCGACGUCAAAGCGUUCAUUAAAGUCGAGUUGGCUUA